rnacentral:rRNA from 1 species
AUUGAACGCUGGCGGCAGGCCUAACACAUGCAAGUCGAACGGUAACAGGAAACAGCUUGCUGUUUCGCUGACGAGUGGCGGACGGGUGAGUGAUGUCUGGGGAACUCUCUGAUGUCGGGGGAUAACUACUGGAAACGGUAACUAAUACCGCAUAACGUCGCAAGACCAAAGAGGGGGACCUUCUGGCCUCUUGCCAUCUGAUAUGCCCAGAUGGGAUUAGCUAGUAGGUGGGGUAAAGGCUCACCCAGGCGACGAUCCCUAGCUGGUCUGAGAGGAUGACCAGCCACACUGGAACUGAGACACGGUCCAGACUCCUACGGGAGGCAGCAGUGGGGAAUAUUGCACAAUGGGCGCAAGCCUGAUGCAGCCAUGCCGCGUGUAUGAAGAAGGCCUUCGGGUUGUAAAGUACUUUCGGCGGGGAGGAAGAGAGUAAAGUUAAUACCUCGACUUAUUGACGUUACCCGAAGAAGAAGCACCGGCUAACUUCGUG